AUACGGAGGGUGCAAGCGUUAAUCGGAAUUACUGGGCGUAAAGCGCACGUAGGCGGCUUGUUAAGUCAGAUGUGAAAGCCCCGGGCUCAACCUGGGAACUGCAUUUGAUACUGGCAGGCUAGAGUAUGGUAGAGGCAAGUGGAAUUCCGGGUGUAGCGGUGAAAUGCGUAGAUAUCCGGAGGAACACCAGUGGCGAAGGCGGCUAACUGGGGCAAUACUGACGCUGAGGCACGAAAGCGUGGGGAGCAAACAGGAUUAGAUACCCUAGUAGUCC
rnacentral:rRNA from 1 species